rnacentral:rRNA from 1 species
UACGUAGGGGGCUAGCGUUGUCCGGAAUCAUUGGGCGUAAAGAGCUCGUAGGCGGUGUGUCGCGUCGGCCGUGAAAACCUGCAGCUUAACUGUGGGCUUGCGGUCGAUACGGGCAUCACUGGAGUUCGGCAGGGGAGACUGGAAUUCCUGGUGUAGCGGUGAAAUGCGCAGAUAUCAGGAGGAACACCGGUGGCGAAGGCGGGUCUCUGGGCCGAUACUGACGCUGAGGAGCGAAAGCGUGGGGAGCGAACAGG